ACGAAGCCUCGCAGUAUUUCUCUCAGAUGUACAACACUGCAUCUAGUCUUAGUGGAAACUGUGAUUUCAUCUUUAUUUUGUGUUACAGUCGGUUUUUACUGUUAUUCCUUCCGGGUAUCAAUAGAUCUCUCAUCGAAUUGCCAAUCUGUUUUCAUGCCAGUCCAGCUAAGUUAGCAUGAUACCUAUUGCUUAUUACCCAAUAAUGCCAGGCUUAGCAACUACUAGGAACAAGUGACCCUUAUCAGUUAGCAAGACAGGAUAACCUGUAUGUGCCUAUCACAAAACCAUUAUGACUGCACUCCACCAUUGAUGUUUCAUGCUACUACACCUCACUCAGUACAUCUCUAUAGGCCAGGUAAUCCCAUAAGCGAAGCUAAUCAAAUGCAGGAGGGGAGUGCCAGAUUAACCGCCAUCUGCAAGCCUACAUACCCAGCGGCUACCAAACUCACGAGUUAAUCAUAGUUAAAUAUAGUUGCGC